rnacentral:rRNA from 1 species
UACGGGGGGAGCAAGCGUUGUUCGGAUUUACUGGGCGUAAAGGGCGCGUAGGCGGUCAGCACAAGUCAGUUGUGAAAUCUCCGGGCUUAACUCGGAAAGGUCAACUGAUACUGUGCGACUAGAGUGCGGAAGGGGCAACUGGAAUUCUCGGUGUAGCGGUGAAAUGCGUAGAUAUUGGGAGGAACACCAGUGGCGAAGGCGGCUCACUGGACCGGAACUGACGCUGAGGCGCGAAAGCGUGGGGAGCAAACGGG